UAGGGAAUCUUCCGCAAUGGACGAAAGUCUGACGGAGCAACGCCGCGUGAGUGAUGAAGGGUUUCGGCUCGUAAAGCUCUGUUAUGAGGGAAGAACACGUACCGUUCGAAUAGGGCGGUACCUUGACGGUACCUCAUCAGAAAGCCACGGCUAACUACGUGCCAGCAGCCGCGGUAAUACGUAGGUGGCAAGCGUUGUCCGGAAUUAUUGGGCGUAAAGCGCGCGCAGGCGGCCUUUUAAGUCUGAUGUGAAAUCUUGCGGCUCAACCGCAAGCGGCCAUUGGAAACUGGGAGGCUUGAGUACAGAAGAGGAGAGUGGAAUUCCACGUGUAGCGGUGAAAUGCGUAGAUAUGUGGAGGAACACCAGUGGCGAAGGCGACUCUCUGGUCUGUAACUGACGCUGAGGCGCGAAAGCGUGGGGAGCAAACAGG
rnacentral:rRNA from 3 species